rnacentral:rRNA from 1 species
UACGUAGGGGGCAAGCGUUGUCCGGAAUCAUUGGGCGUAAAGCGCGUGUAGGCGGUUCGGUAAGUCUGCUGUGAAAGUCCAGGGCUCAACCCUGGGAUGCCGGUGGAUACUGUCGGACUAGAGUACGGAAGAGGCGAGUGGAAUUCCCGGUGUAGCGGUGAAAUGCGCAGAUAUCAGGAAGAACACCCGUGGCGAAGGCGGUUCUCUGGGACGGUACUGACGCUGAGACGCGAAAGCGUGGGGAGCGAACAGG